GAUGAACGCUGGCGGCGUGCCUAAUACAUGCAAGUCGAGCGAACAGACGAGGAGCUUGCUCCUCUGACGUUAGCGGCGGACGGGUGAGUAACACGUGGAUAACCUACCUAUCAGACUGGGAUAACUUCGGGAAACCGGAGCUAAUACCGGAUAAUCUAUUGAACCGCAUGGUUCAAUAGUGAAAGACGGUUUUGCUGUCACUUCUAGAUGGAUCCGCGCCGCAUUAGCUAGUUGGUAAGGUAACGGCUUACCAAGGCAACGAUGCGUAGCCGACCUGAGAGGGUGAUCGGCCACACUGGAACUUGGACACGGUCCAGGCGCCUACGGGAGGCAGCAGUAGGGAAUCUUCCGCAGUGGGCGAAAGCCUGACGGAGCAACCGCGCGUGAGUGAUGGAGGUCUUCGGUUCGUAAAACUCUGUUAUUAGUGAAAAACAAAUGUGUAAGUAACUAUGCACGUCUUGACGGUACCUAGUCAGAAAGCCACGGCUAACUACGUG
rnacentral:rRNA from 1 species